GUAGGCAAUCUGCCCUUCAAGGGAGCACAACCAGCCGAAAGGUUGGCUAAAUCUCCGUAAAAUCAUAGAGUGGCAUCACUUAUUGAUCAAAUUUUUUGAAGGAUGAGCCUGCGUCUGAUUAGCUAGUUGGCGGGGUAACGGCCCACCAAGGCUACGAUCAGUAGCUGGUCUGAGAGGAUGAUCAGCCACAUUGGGACUGAGAUACGGCCCAG
rnacentral:rRNA from 1 species